AGCCUUCUGAAUCCGUGACAAGAUUUCGUCAGACACCAGACCAUCAGUACUGAUAAAACUCUCAAGAAAAAUUUAGUU
rnacentral:pre_miRNA from 1 species